UAUGUGAGAGUCAACGAUCUGCAUGGU
rnacentral:piRNA from 1 species